GAUGAACGCUGGCGGCGUGCCUAAUACAUGCAAGUCGAGCGAACAGACGAGGAGCUUGCUCCUCUGACGUUAGCGGCGGACGGGUGAGUAACACGUGGAUAACCUACCUAUAAGACUGGGAUAACUUCGGGAAACCGGAGCUAAUACCGGAUAAUAUAUUGAACCGCAUGGUUCAAUAGUGAAAGACGGUUUUGCUGUCACUUAUAGAUGGAUCCGCGCCGCAUUAGCUAGUUGGUAAGGUAACGGCUUACCAAGGCGACGAUGCGUAGCCGACCUGAGAGGGUGAUCGGCCACACUGGAACUGAGACACGGUCCAGACUCCUACGGGAGGCAGCAGUAGGGAAUCUUCCGCAAUGGGCGAAAGCCUGACGGAGCAACGCCGCGUGAGUGAUGAAGGUCUUCGGAUCGUAAAACUCUGUUAUUAGGGAAGAACAAAUGUGUAAGUAACGAUGCACGUCUUGACGGUACCUAAGCAGAAAGCCACGGCUAACUACGU
rnacentral:rRNA from 1 species